AGUGAACGCUGGCGGUAGGCCUAACACAUGCAAGUCGAACGGCAGCACAGUAAGAGCUUGCUCUUACGGGUGGCGAGUGGCGGACGGGUGAGGAAUACAUCGGAAUCUACUUUUUCGUGGGGGAUAACGUAGGGAAACUUACGCUAAUACCGCAUACGACCUACGGGUGAAAGCAGGGGAUCUUCGGACCUUGCGCGAUUGAAUGAGCCGAUGUCGGAUUAGCUAGUUGGCGGGGUAAAGGCCCACCAAGGCGACGAUCCGUAGCUGGUCUGAGAGGAUGAUUAGCCACACUGGAACUGAGACACGGUCCCGACUCCUACGGGAGGCAGCAGUGGGGAAUAUUGGACAAUGGGCGCAAGCCUGAUCCAGCCAUACCGCGUGGGUGAAGAAGGCCUUCGGGUUGUAAAGCCCUUUUGUUGGGAAAGAAAAGCAGCAGGUUAAUACCCCGCUGUUCUGACGGUACCCAAAGAAUAAGCACCGGCUAACUUCGUG
rnacentral:rRNA from 1 species